rnacentral:lncRNA from 1 species
AAACCAUGCAAUAUGCCAAAAAUCGUCCGGAAGCUAGUUUCGAAAUAUAAUGUUAUGUGACAUGUAUCUGGAAGGCUACCAUGUAGGGACUCUGUGUACACCAUCAAAAGUGCAAAUAUUUGAUUCUAUUUUUAGAAAUAAGCAAUUCUAUUUUUAGAACACAUCCAAGCAUUGGCACAAGCAUUUUCUUAUGAAAAAAUGGC